UACGAAGGCCCCAAGCGUCAUCCGGAUUUAUUGGGCGUAAAGCGUUCAACGGCGGCAACGUAAGUCAUUGGUCAAAUCUCGCGGCUCAACCGCGAGGCAGCUGAUGAAACUGCGUAGCUCGAGGCUGGUAGAGGCAUACGGAACUAUCGGUGUAGCGGUAAAAUGCGUUCAUAUCGAUAGGAACACCAAAGGCGAAAGCAGUAUGCUGGAACAGUCCUGACGCUCAACGAACGAAAGCGUGGGGAGCGAAUGGG
rnacentral:rRNA from 1 species